GGAAACGCGCUUUGGUUGAGCAAACCCACCUUCCCUUUGGAAGAAGACGAAACGCAAAGACUUGGGUCUGCCCAAUCUCUCUCUCUCGAGUUCAGAGUCGUUCAUUUGAAGUAUUUGAAGCUUUCAACACGGGAUCGAGGCAUCUUCCGCGUCCGGCGAAGGCAAAGAAGAAGGAAAGAUGCCUAAUUGGGAGCUCAAGAACUGCUGCGACCACGACCAGGUCGCCUUCAUCGUCACCAUCGGCGUCUUCACCUUCGUCAUCCUCGCCCUGUGGAGGACGGUGCUGCUCACACCUUUCAAGCUCAUCACGGUGUUCCUACACGAGACGAGUCAUGCCCUCGCCUGCAAGUUAACAUGCGGUGAUGUUGAGGGCAUACAAGUGCAUGCAAACGAGGGUGGAGUCACACAAACUCGUGGUGGCAUCUAUUGGAUCAUUUUGCCAGCUGGAUAUCUUGGCUCAUCAUUUUGGGGAAUGGUCUUCAUUCUUGCAUCUACGAAUCUUAUUACGACAAGAAUUGCAGCUGGUUGCUUUCUACUUGCAUUGGUUGUCGUGCUAUUUGUUGCCAAAAAUUGGUUGCUUCGAGGACUCUGUAUAGGUUUCAUUAUAUUUAUUGCCAUUAUUUGGCUUCUGCAAGAAACUACAAAAGUCCAUAUUCUUCGAUAUGUCAUUCUGUUUAUCGGUGUCAUGAACAGCUUAUUUUCAGUCUAUGAUAUCUAUGAUGAUUUAAUAUCUCGAAGAGUUCACUCAAGUGAUGCCGAGAAAUUUGCUGAAAUCUGUCCUUGCCCUUGCAAUGGUGUUGCAUGGGGGGUUAUUUGGGGAUUAAUAUCAUUUACAUUUCUUUGCGGAUCCAUUUACCUUGGUCUGGUUAUUCUGUCUUGAGGUUUUGUGGAUUUGUGUAGAUUCUGAUUUGCUCAGGUUGGAUUGAACACACUGUUCUUACCAGAUUGAAGAUUGCUUUUAUUUUUCAUUUUUUCUUUUAGUUCCUUUUUCAGUUGAAGCUGUCGAUCUGACAAUUGAUUUUUCUUGAUCAACUACAGAUAAAAGUUGGUUUUGUAUGCUGAUCUUUAGUAUUCCUAUUUGUGCAGAUUUCCUGGAUUCAUGUAGAUUCUGAUUUGCUUAGGUUUCAUCAAUUCAUGUCGAUUGAACACAUUGUUCUUAUCAGAUUGCCAUCAAAUUGGAAACAGCCUUAGAUUCUUGUGGCAUCAUCUUUUCUGGAGCUUCGAGUCCCAGCUGCUCUGAUGCUUGUCCAUGUUGUUGCAUUGAGAAACUUGCUGAUGAGUUUCUUGACAACAUAGAUGUUUCAUUUGUGCAACACAGCAACUCAUUGUUUCAACCUCUGUACCAACAUUUAACUAAUCUUUCAUUUGUUAUAUUUUUUUGGGCACUUCUUCA